rnacentral:rRNA from 1 species
GACGAACGCUGGCGGCGUGCUUAACACAUGCAAGUCGAACGGAAAGUCCCAGCUUGCUGGGUGCUCGAGUGGCGACCGGUUGAGUUAUACGCUUGUGUUCUGCCUCUACCUUCGGGAUAAGCUUGGGUAACUUGUUCUCAUACUGGAUAGGACAUUCGUUUGGUGUCGGUUGUCGAAAGUUUUUUCGGUUAGGUAUGAGCGCGCGGCCUUUCAGCUUGUUGGUGUGGUAAUGGCCUUCCAAGGCUUCGACGCGUAGCAGGCCUGAGAGGGUGGACGGCCACAUUGGGACUGAGAUACGACACAGACUAGUACGGGAGGGAGCAGUGGGGAAGAGUGCACAAGGGGCGGAAGCCUGAUGUAGCGAAGCCGUGUGGGGGAUGACGGCAUUCGGGUUGUAAACCAAUGUCGACAGGGACGAAGAGUUGGUGACGGUACCAGUAGAAGAAGCACCGGCUAACUACGUG